ACAAAAAUGCAUAUGUUGUGAGUUCGAUGAGUAGGGCGGGACACGUGACAUCCUGUCUGAAUAUGGGGGGACCAUCCUCCAAGGCUAAAUACUCCUGACUGACCGAUAGUGAACCAGUACCGUGAGGGAAAGGCGAAAAGAACCCCGGCGAGGGGAGUGAAAUAGAACCUGAAACCGUGUACGUACAAGCAGUGGGAGCACCUUCGUGGUGUGACUGCGUACCUUUUGUAUAAUGGGUCAGCGACUUAUAUUUUGUAGCAAGGUUAACCGAAUAGGGGAGCCGUAGGGAAACCGAGUCUUAACUGGGCGAAUAGUUGCAAGGUAUAGACCCGAAACCCGGUGAUCUAGCCAUGGGCAGGUUGAAGGUUGGGUAACACUAACUGGAGGACCGAACCGACUAAUGUUGAAAAAUUAGCGGAUGACUUGUGGCUGGGGGUGAAAGGCCAAUCAAACCGGGAGAUAGCUGGUUCUCCCCGAAAGCUAUUUAGGUAGCGCCUCGUGAACUCAUCUUCGGGGGUAGAGCACUGUUUCGGCUAGGGGGUCAUCCCGACUUACCAAACCGAUGCAAACUCCGAAUACCGAAGAAUGUUAUCACGGGAGACACACGGCGGGUGCUAACGUCCGUCGUGAAGAGGGAAACAACCCAGACCGCCAGCUAAGGUCCCAAAGUCAUGGUUAAGUGGGAAACGAUGUGGGAAGGCAUAGACAGCCAGGAUGUUGGCUUAGAAGCAGCCAUCAUUUAAAGAAAGCGUAAUAGCUCACUGGUCGAGUCGGCCUGCGCGGAAGAUGUAACGGGGCUAAACCAUGCACCGAAGCUGCGGCAGCGACGCUUAGGCGUUGUUGGGUAGGGGAGCGUUCUGUAAGCCGUUGAAGGUGACCUGUGAGGGUUGCUGGAGGUAUCAGAAGUGCGAAUGCUGACAUAAGUAACGAUAAUGCGGGUGAAAAACCCGCACGCCGGAAGACCAAGGGUUCCUGUCCAACGUUAAUCGGGGCAGGGUGAGUCGACCCCUAAGGCGAGGCUGAAAAGCGUAGUCGAUGGGAAACAGGUUAAUAUUCCUGUACUUGGUGUUACUGCGAAGGGGGGACGGAGAAGGCUAGGCUAGCCGGGCGACGGUUGUCCC
rnacentral:rRNA from 1 species